AAUAAGUACAUUUUUAGUACUGUUCAUGUCCAACAUUUGACCAUUCGUUUUAUUUAAAAAAAAGAUUAUGAUUAGUAUUUUUAUUGUUAUUAGAUGAUAAAACAUGAAUAGUACUUUAUGUGUGACUAAUUUUUUUAAUAUUUUUCAUAAAUUUUUUAAAUAAGACGGAUGGUCAAAACGCUGAGCACGUAUAUAUAUGGCUGCACUUAUU
rfam:Oryza barthii chromosome 12, whole genome shotgun sequence.